rnacentral:rRNA from 1 species
CAAUAGCGUAUAUUAAAGUUGUUGCAGUUAAAAAGCUCGUAGUUGGAUUUCUGGUGGGGCUGUCGGCCUGGCUCCGAAAGGGGUCGGCGCUUGUACACGCCUGGCCAUCCUCGGGGGAAGCUUUGCUGGCAUUAAGUUGUCGGCGGAGUGACGCUCGUCGUUUACUGUGAACAAAUUAGAGUGUUCAAAGCAGGCUUAGGCCGUUGAAUACAUUAGCAUGGAAUAAUGAGAUAGGACUUUGGUGGUCUAUUUUGUUGGUUUGCACGCCGAAGUAAUGAUUAAUAGGGGCGGUUGGGGGUAUUCGUAUUCAAUUGUCAGAGGUGAAAUUCUUGGAUUUAUGGAAGACGAACUACUGCGAAAGCAUUUACCAAGGAUGUUUNCAUUAA